GGCACAAACUUGAUGUAGAGUAGAUUAGUAUGGUGAGCUGAUCCUACUAAUCUACUCUAAUCCAAAUUUGUGCCC
rfam:Haemonchus contortus, ISE/inbred ISE, WGS project CAVP01000000 data, contig: Hcontortus_31546